rnacentral:tRNA from 1 species
GAAAUAAACUUAAAUGAACUUCUAAUUCAUUAAUUAUGAUACCCUCUAUCAUUUAUUUCU